GGCCGGUUAGCUCAGCUGGUUAGAGCGUGGUGCUAAUAACGCCAAGGUCGCGGGUUCGACCCCCGUACGGGCCA
rfam:Chlorocebus sabaeus isolate 1994-021 chromosome 17, whole genome shotgun sequence.